CUUCGUUACUCAGGAGAAAAAAAGAGGGAGCGAGAGAGAGAAAAUCAAGUCGCAGCCGGCUUGGCCCGGUGUUGGGGGCGGUCGCGCGGAACGGUGAGGCUGUGAGAACUUCCCCAGCUGCUGACUGAAGUGGGAAGUGAGGUGUGAACUGAGACCCCGGGAGAGAGGCCCUCCGGGUAGGACCUGGCCUCGGACUGGCGGCGUAAAGGGUGGCGUUGCCACCGACUGAGAGUGGUUGAGCUGGCCUCUGGCCGAGUGUGGGGAGAGAGGCUUCACUUCUUUGUACACAUGUGCAGAGGCUAUGAAGUCCAGGAUUAAGGUGCUGGCCAAUUCAGUUUCUGGUGAAGACUCUUCUGGAGUUGCAGACUUCUGAGUUUAUCUUCAAAUGGCCUUUCCCCAGUGGGCGUAUGUGGGGAGAGGGGAGAGCCAUCCUGCCUGAAACUCAGGAAACACAAGGUCCCUGGUUGUGUAACAUGAGUACACUUGAAAGUUCCUCGUCCUUAUCUGGCAACCCAGAUGGAUAAAUACUGGCCCUGAAGAUGCUUUUCUUAAAACUGAGCACAAGUGGCUGCAGAACAGAGCUUGGGAAGAACCAGUUAUUCUUCUGUCAGUUCAAAACUGGGGGCCCCUUCCCUCUAGCAUUCAUCCUCUGCUUGCCGGGGCAUAUCAAUUUCACCCAAAUCACGUGGACUAAGGUGGUGAUGGUGGGCUGUGGUAGGUAUGAUUUCCCCAAAGAAAAUUCAGAUGAAGUCACCAGAGGGAAGAAGGAAGAAUGGAUGUUUAUGCAAAAGACGCAGAUGUCCACAACAGUUCCCACAUGGGAAGAGAAUAAUCCAGGUUUAAGAGCCCUGGCUUGGGACCCCAGUGUCUGGGGAUGGAGUCCCAGCUCUACCAUUUACAAAUUGUGUGACCAUGGCUGGAUCAUGUCACCAGUCAGUAUGGGUCUGUGUCCCCAUUAACAAAUGGGAGUGAUGGUCCAGCAUUGUGGGCCUGAAUCAGAGUGACAGCACAUUGCAAAGGCACCAUGUAAGCUCCAGCAGGUGUGUCACAGCUACUUGUGGUGUCAUGAAAUCUGAAGUCUCUGAUCCAGUGAAUCAGCUUCUGAAUAUUUAAUCAAAGGAAAUUAAAACACUAACUCAGGAGUUCCCAUCAUGGUGCAGUGGUUAACGGAUCCGACUAGGAACCAUAAGGUUGCGAGUUCGAUCCCUGGCCUUGCUCAGUGGGUCGAGGAUCCAGCAUUGCCGUGAGCUGUGGUGUAAGUUGCAGACACGGCUGGGAUCCUGCGUUGCUGUGGCUCUGGCGUAGGCCGGUGGCUAUAGCUCCAAUUAGACCCCUAGCCUGGGAAUCUCCAUAUGCCGCUGGAGCGGCCCUAGAAAAAGGCAAAAAGACAAAACAAACAAACAAACAAACAAAAAAACACUAACUCAAAAAGGUAUCUGUACCCCCAUGUUCAUUGAAGCAUUAUUUACAAUAGCCAGGAUAUGCAAACAACCUAAGUGUCUAUUGAUGGAUGAAUCAAUAAAGAAAUGUGGUGUGUAUAUGUAAUGGAAUAUACUUCAGCCAUAGGAAAGAAUAAAAUUCUGCCAUUUUGCAACAACAUGGAUGAACCUUGAGGGCAUUAUGCUAAAUGAAAUGUCAGACAGAGAAAGACAAAUACCAUAUGAUCUUACUCAUAUAUGAAAUUAAAAAGAAAAACUAAGGUCAUAAAUACAAAAAGUAGAUUGGUGGUUGCCAAAGAUGGGGGGAUAGGAGAAUGGGCGAAAUGACUGAAGGGGGUCAAAAGGUAUAGACUUUCAGUUAUAAGAUAAAUAAGUCCUGGGAUAUAAUGUACAGCAUGGUGACUGUAGUUAACACUGUAUUGCACAUUUUAAUGUUUCUAAGAGAGUGGAUCUUAAAAAUUCAUCACAAGAGAAAAAAUUUAUAACUAUGUAUGGUAACAGAUAUUAACUACACUUAUUAUGGAGACCAUUUUUCAGUGUAUACAAAUAUUGAAUCAUGUUGUAUGCCUGAAAUUAUUAUAAUGUUAUAUGUCAAUUAUACCUAAAUAAAAAACAAAAUGAA
rnacentral:lncRNA from 1 species